rnacentral:rRNA from 1 species
AGCGAACGUUAGCGGCGGGCCUAACACAUGCAAGUCGAACGCGAAAGGUCUUCGGACUGAGUAGAGUGGCGCACGGGUGAGUAACACGUAGGUAAUCUACCCUUUGGCGGGGGAUAACGUUCCGAAAGGAGCGCUAAUACCGCAUAAGACCACGGAGUCUCCGGACGCUGUGGGAAAAGGUGGCCUCUUCUUGAAAGCUACCACCGAAGGAUGAGCCUGCGUCCCAUCAGCUAGUUGGUAAGGUAAUGGCUUACCAAGGCGAAGACGGGUAGCUGGUUUGAGAGAAUGAUCAGCCACACUGACACUGGAACACGGGCCAGACUCCUACGGGAGGCAGCAGUGAGGAAUAUUGGGCAAUGGGCGAAAGCCUGACCCAGCCACGCCGCGUGAGUGAUGAAGGCCCUCGGGUCGUAAAGCUCUGUGGAGAGGGACGAAAACCCUGGUUUCAAAUAGGCUCCAGGCUUGACGGUACCUCUUUAGCAAGCACCGGCUAACUCUGUGCCAGCAG